GACGAACGCUGGCGGCGUGCUUAACACAUGCAAGUCGAACGAUGAAGCUGGAGCUUGCUCCGGUGGAUUAGUGGCGAACGGGUGAGUAACACGUGAGCAAUCUGCCCUUGACUCUGGGAUAACUGCGGGAAACUGUAGCUAAUACCGGAUACUUUCACUGGAAGGCAUCUUCUGGUGAAGAAAGAAUUUCGGUCAAGGAUGAGCUCGCGGCCUAUCAGCUUGUUGGUGAGGUAACGGCUCACCAAGGCGACGACGGGUAGCCGGCCGGAGAGGGUGACCGGCCACACUGGGACUGAGACACGGCCCAGACUCCUACGGGAGGCAGCAGUGGGGAAUAUUGCACAAUGGGCGAAAGCCUGAUGCAGCAACGCCGCGUGAGGGAUGAAGGCCUUCGGGUUGUAAACCUCUUUUAGCAGGGAAGAAGCGAAAGUGACGGUACCUGCAGAAAAAGCACCGGCUAACUACGUGCCAGCAGCCGCGGUAA
rnacentral:rRNA from 1 species